rnacentral:rRNA from 1 species
GAUGAACGCUGGCGGCGUGCCUAAUACAUGCAAGUCGAGCGAACAGACGAGGAGCUUGCUCCUCUGACGUUAGCGGCGGACGGGUGAGUAACACGUGGAUAACCUACCUAUAAGACUGGGAUAACUUCGGGAAACCGGAGCUAAUACCGGAUAAUAUAUUGAACCGCAUGGUUCAAUAGUGAAAGACGGUUUUGCUGUCACUUAUAGAUGGAUCCGCGCCGCAUUAGCUAGUUGGUAAGGUAACGGCUUACCAAGGCGACGAUGCGUAGCCGACCUGAGAGAGUGAUCCGCCACACUGGAACUGAGACACGGUCCAGACUCCUACGGGAGGCAGCAGUAGGGAAUCUUCCGCAAUGGGCGAAAGCCUGACGGAGCAACGCCGCGUGAGUGAUGAAGGUCUUCGGAUCGUAAAACUCUGUUAUUAGGGAAGAACAAAUGUGUAAGUAACUAUGCACGUCUUGACGGUACCUAAUCAGAAAGCCACGGCUAACUACGUG